AGUGAACGCUGGCGGUAGGCCUAACACAUGCCAGUCGAACGGCAGCACAGUAAGAGCUUGCUCUUACGGGUGGCGAGUGGCGGACGGGUGAGGAAUACAUCGGAAUCUACUUUUUCGUGGGGGAUAACGUAGGGAAACUUACGCUAAUACCGCAUACGACCUACGGGUGAAAGCAGGGGAUCUUCGGACCUUGCGCGAUUGAAUGAGCCGAUGUCGGAUUAGCUAGUUGGCGGGGUAAAGGCCCACCAAGGCGACGAUCCGUAGCUGGUCUGAGAGGAUGAUCAGCCACAUUGGAACUGAGACACGGUCCAGACUCCUACGGGAGGCAGCAGUGGGGAAUAUUGGACAAUGGGCGCAAGCCUGAUCCAGCCAUACCGCGUGGGUGAAGAAGGCCUUCGGGUUGUAAAGCCCUUUUGUUGGGAAAGAAAAGCAGCAGGUUAAUACCCCGCUGUUCUGACGGUACCCAAAGAAUAAGCACCGGCUAACUUCGUG
rnacentral:rRNA from 1 species